rnacentral:lncRNA from 1 species
CUGAAGACAAGAAUCUGGAAUAUAGUGACUUCAUUGAGGAACGUUCCUGGAUGGUUUAUCUGUGAUGUCUUCACCUUGUCUCUCUCGAGGGCAAUGCCUUGCACUUACUGCUUUUCAACCAAUAAACGAUGCUCUUUGAUUCUGAUAUGAUGGAGGGCAAAUUGCCCCUACAAGCAAGGAUGUGUUGCCACCACCAAAGGAAAUAGGAGUCUGAAGAGCACAAGUCAAAAAAACAAAGGCUGAUCUGAUGGAAAGGUGGGCAUUUGUUUCAAUUCAAUAAAAUAGCCUCUGUUUUCUCCAUUUAUACCUGCCACAUACAUAAGGCUUAAUGGUACACUUAGCACAAUUUAAACAAGAAGAAAUUUUCGGGAGGACAUUCAUGGAUUUUGAUACUGAAACAGAAGAGCUUGUUUGCA